UAAGGAAUAUUGCGCAAUGGGCGAAAGCCUGACGCAGCGACGCCGCGUGGGGGAUGAAGGUCUUCGGAUUGUAAACCCCUUUCGGGAGGGAAGAUGGAAUGGGGUAACCCAUUCGGGCGGUACCUCCAGAAGCAGCCACGGCUAACUUCGUGCCAGCAGCCGCGGUAAUACGAAGGUGGCAAGCGUUAUUCGGAUUUACUGGGCGUACAGGGAGCGUAGGCGGUUCGGUAAGCCCUCUGUGAAAUCUUCAGGCUUAACCUGGAAAAGUCGGAGGGGACUGCUGGGCUAGAGGACGGGAGAGGAGCGCGGAAUUCCCGGUGUAGCGGUGAAAUGCGUAGAGAUCGGGAGGAAGGCCGGUGGCGAAGGCGGCGCUCUGGAACGUUUCUGACGCUGAGGCUCGAAAGCGUGGGGAGCCAACAGGAUUAGAUACCCUUGUAGUCCCUGAGCGGGCUGGCAAGGCGCAU
rnacentral:rRNA from 1 species